rfam:Pseudomonas balearica DSM 6083 genome assembly, contig: Ga0056079_104
AUGCGUGUUGGGUGGAGACGCACAGUAACCGAUGGCGUAGCACAGGCUUGUUAGACGCUUAGUUUCGUCCGCUAUCGGUAGCUGAUUCCUCCUCCCCGCAUUGCUUCUGUUCAGACAGCAAGCAGGAGACGUCGUCGCGACGCCGGCCUUUUCUGGCCCCACAUCGCUAGACACUGGAGUGCCUUACAACCAUUCCUGACGCACCUGACACCGACCGCGAGAGUCGUGUGUGCCGAACGCGGUUUCCGGAUGCCACGGAAACCGA